rnacentral:rRNA from 1 species
UGGGGAAUUUUGGACAAUGGGCGCAAGCCUGAUCCAGCCAUGCCGCGUGCGGGAAGAAGGCCUUCGGGUUGUAAACCGCUUUUGUCAGGGAAGAAACGAGUUUCUCUAAUACAGAGACUUAAUGACGGUACCUGAAGAAUAAGCACCGGCUAACUACGUGCCAGCAGCCGCGGUAAUACGUAGGGUGCGAGCGUUAAUCGGAAUUACUGGGCGUAAAGCGUGCGCAGGCGGUUAUAUAAGACAGAUGUGAAAUCCCCGGGCUCAACCUGGGACCUGCAUUUGUGACUGCAUAGCUAGAGUACGGUAGAGGGGGAUGGAAUUCCGCGUGUAGCAGUGAAAUGCGUAGAUAUGCGGAGGAACACCGAUGGCGAAGGCAAUCCCCUGGACCUGUACUGACGCUCAUGCACGAAAGCGUGGGGAGCAAACA